UUUCAAAGGCUCAUUCUAUGAUUAUGUCCUAAUUCCUUGAUGAAAGAAAAUCUCAGGAGAUUGGGUUGAAAUUGCAUAGAAAUGCGUCAAAUCUAACAUCAUCAUCAUCAGAAUACAGAACAAAUUCAUGUGUUCAGGAGAAAACUAACGAUAAACUACAAAUGUCGUGGAAUUCCUUUUGCAAACGAUCUAGUUCACAGCAGCAUUGCGGCAGAAACUGUGCAAUGGUGUGUAAUGACCCAAUGGCUCAUGUCGCUAACGAGUGUUUUGUCCUCUUCGCCAGCCAAGAUAUGGAGUUCUUUGGUCCCUUCUGUAUGUGGUUGCCUUCUGUGUUGGUACUCGUGGCCUGGUUGGAGGGAAAUUCGGCUGUGGAGGACAGCUGGGAUGCUGACGCGGCCACGGCGGUGAGAGACGUUCUGCUUGCGUCAACAGAAAAAGAAUCGUCUCUCGUCAUUAUUGCAGAAAACAGCUUGUCGAUUGAAACAAAAACGCUUAUCGGGGACUCGCGAGGCUUGGCGGUGUUUGAGGCUGCCACAAAUGGGUCCCAGCUCGCCCAGAUGGUCACACGUGCCCGCCAGGUAGGACCCAAUACGAGGAUGGGUUGUUCCUGUCGCUGCAAUAACUUUUUUUUUUUAUUAUGAUAAUGGUGUUGGUGCUGGUAUUAGUAUUAGUAUUGGUAUUAGGAUCAUUAUGGCUACUUCCUUACUACCUUGUGUCCUGAGUAGUGUGGUCACGGACAGGUGCGGGUGGCGUCGUGGAUGGUCGUGGUGGUGGUGGUGAGUGACGACCCAGUCUUCCUGGCCGCCUUCGCCCAGCAGGCCCGUGAGGGUCGCCUGCUGGUGUGGGCCACGAGGCUGAUUGUGGUGAGCCGUCACAAGCCGCACGGCCUCCACCCUCUCUACCAGACUCUCUCCCUUACCAACUCCCUCCUGCUGCUGGUGGAUGGCGCGGCGGCGGUAAGCAGGUGUGUGAGUGUGUCUGUGUGGAAGCUCUGCUGUACACAGACGAUCCUCGCAUGUAUUGUAUUGUUUUCAUGACCAUCACGUGACUGUCUGCUUGUGAACACUGACACGGCCAAACAUAGCACCGCUGUUCCAGGGCUGCUGGGUGGGUUGUGCUGCCAUAUCAACGGUCUGGCGUCGCACCGCUGCGGGUUGCCUCCUGGAUGGCGGGGGGCAACCUUUCAUUGCAUCGGCCGCUGUUCUGGGACAAAUUUAGCAAGUGAGUGGCACUAUUGCUCU